GCUGGGCAUGGUGGCCCAUAUCUGUAAUCCCAGCAGCUCUGGAGGCUGAGGCAGGAGAAUUGCAAGUUUUAAUCCAGGCUCAGCAACUUAGUGAAAGCAACACAGUGAAAUUCUAUCUCAA
rnacentral:sRNA from 1 species